UGUUAAGGGCAUACGAUACAGUUACAGGGAAUGUAAUGACGUUGCUAACGUAAAAUGUUAUUUUCGCGACGUCAAACUCUGACAUAUCGGGAAAAGAUGCAUUUUUCGACUGAUUUUUAGCAUUCAAACUGAUUUAAUUUGAAAACGAGUGCAUGGACCCCUAUUUUUUAAAACAGCAAUUUGUUUCAUUUUGCUAGGAGAUUAUGUGACCAAAAUUUUAUAAAACUGUAAAUAGCGCAAUUUUUUUAAUCUUGAUAAACAUGCAGCAAAAAAUGACGUUUUUUCCUCUAUUCAUGAACAU
rnacentral:lncRNA from 1 species